GCUGCUUUAGCUCUAGCCAUCAUAUCCUCAUUCCAAGCCACAAAGGAUAAAGCAGGAGAAAUGUCCUUCAGUUUAUGGCCCUGGCCAGUGGUCAUGGGGCUGUGACCUCCUUGUCUGCAGGAAUCAGGAGCUCAUGUCAUCAUGCAAUAGUCUUGUGAUCUCUGGAAACAUCUCUGAGCCUUCAGACCUAGCCUAUUAAGAAAAGAACUGAACAGGGCCCGCAAUCCUGCAUGUGCUUUUCAAUAAUCCCAUGACUAGUCAGUGAGGAUGGAGCAGUGACCCCAAGAUAGAAGACUUCAUUUGGCAUGACUCACCCUUGGAGACAUCCAGCUCGCCUGGCGUGUGUUGUUAAGUGCCUGAUUCUGUAAAUAUUGACAGUCAGAAACCAUCCUGAGAGCUAGGAAGCAACGACCUUGCUUCGUAGGAAGGUAAUGUAUAUGAAUAUGCCCCGUGAUUAGGCAACACUCGUUAUUUGCUCUGAUUUAGUCACUGAUAAAUAUCACUGCACUCUCUCUCUUCCUAAUAGUGACUCCUCUGCUGAUGUGUGACUCAGAGUUGAUAUAUUAUGGGGUCUGAUUCAGCCAGGAAAGUUUGGUCUGCCACCGCAGAGAACAACAUCCAAGGCCACUUUGGAUUCCAAGAUACUGGUUUCUUAACAAGUGUGGCAUUGCCAAGAAGGAAAAGCUCAGAAGCAGUCUCCAUAUUUGAGAAACAGAAGCAGGUGUGGAGGGAUAAAGAGCAGAAGAGUGCGUUAAAAAAAAUAAAAUUUAUUUAUUUAAAAAAGUAUUUUGGCUCAGCUUGAGGCCAUGUGGGAUCUUAGCUCCCCC